AUCCCUUAUGUGUGAAAUGCAGAAAAGUGGUAUAAGAUUAGCAUGACCCCUGCACAAGGAUGACAUGCAAAUUUGCGAAGCAUUUCAUAAAUUU
ensembl:snRNA U6 U6 spliceosomal RNA